CCUACGGGAGGCAGCAGUGGGGAAUAUUGCACAAUGGGCGAAAGCCUGAUGCAGCAACGCCGCGUGAGUGAUGAAGGCCUCCGGGUUGUAAAGCUCUGUCUUCUGGGACGAUAAUGACGGUACCAGAGGAGGAAGCCACGGCUAACUACGUGCCAGCAGCCGCGGUAAU
rnacentral:rRNA from 1 species